rnacentral:rRNA from 1 species
GCGCGAAAACUUUACAAUGCGGGAAACCGUGAUAAGGGGACACCGAGUGCUAGCAUCAUAUGCUGGCUGUCCAGGUGUGUAAAAUACACCUGUUAGCAAGGGCCGGGCAAGACCGGUGCCAGCCGCCGCGGUAACACCGGCGGCCCGCGUGGUGAUCGUGAUUAUUGGGUCUAAAGGGUCCGUAGCCGGUUUGGUCAGUCCUCCGGGAAAUCUGAUAGCUCAACUAUUAGGCUUUCGGGGGAUACUGCCAGACUUGGAACCGGGAGAGGUAAGAGGUACUACAGGGGUAGGAGUGAAAUCUUGUAAUCCUUGAAGGACCACCAGUGGCGAAGGCGUCUCACCAGAACGGACCUGACGGCAAGGGACGAAAGCUAGGGGCACGAACCG